UUUUUUUGUGUGUUUUUGUGUGCAAAAACUGCCAUCCAUUGGAUGUGGAGAUCGUGUGAUUCAUGGGGUUUUCGCUGGCAAAACGUCCCUGGAGAGUGGAGAACGUCUCACGGAAUUGGAUUUAGUAAAACAACACCAAGCAUAACUGGUAUAUUUCACAGUUCAGCACCGCACUGAAAGAUUAAAUUGGUUACAUUUUUGGAAUCAGACCCUGCCUUGUGGACACAACACGGUUGGAUUUUUGGAAUCAGAGGAAGACUAUUUGUUAAUUAUAUAUGCUUGUGUGAUGUCUUAAUAGGAUCAAUGUUGAGGAUAUCGCUUAUCGUUAUCAUCUCGGUCAGCUAGGGAUUAGAGAUUAAUCUGAAAUCGGCCGAUUAAUCGAUUUUAUCGGUCGACUAUUAAUCGGAUAUUUUUUGCAAAUCCCAGGUUCCCAACACUAAAAUACGCUAGAUUCAACACCAAAACAAUAUUUGACAGACGUGUUACCUUGAUUCCUAGCCUUUGAAUCCUCGUAUAAUGACAAACAAAAUACGUCACCAGUACAUAUUGCGUAACAAGGUCCACAAAACAUAAAUAAACAAUGUUUUUGCAAACAUAGUGCUAUGAAUAGGUCUGAUUUAUUAGUAGAUUCCCGAUAAAUCGCUUGUUAGAGCGAUAAACUGGUCCAAAAGAUAAACGGUGAAGAUAAGGCAUAAUCUUAUCAGUCACCCCCGAUUAGCGAUAAAUCAAAAGAUUAAUCGUUGAAUCGGAAGAUUUCUUUAACAGUGAAUAGGAUAUCCCCAAGUACUGUUGAGUAACAUGGUUGUUGGGGUUGGGGUGGGGUGGGGAGAAGCAUUUCCUAACAUAUCAUGAACAACGAACAACCUGAAAUUACAUUUUGUACUCUCUUUGCUUCAAGAUGUUAGCAAACGAAGCGAACAUUCGGUAUUUGAUGAAUCCACUAGGCAGGUUAAUUGUUACUCCCUCUGUUCAUAAUACUAGAUGAUCUCCCGCACGUUGCUGCGGGAACUGUUAAUAAAUAAUUUGAUGAUGUUUUAAAUCAUGAGAAAAUUUAUGAAACAUAGUAUAAUUUGAUGACAAUUUUUUUGAAAGAAGUAUUGUUUAGUGUAAACUUCUAAGAAUAUUAGAUGAAAAAUAAAAAAUGAGUGUAAUUUUUGUUCUGUUAAUUUAUUGACAAAAUAACAUUGAGUAGAGACAAUGGAGACAUCUCCACCCUGGACUAAACUUAAAACAAUGGAGCAAAUACGGAUGUGCAUUCAUACAAAAAAGUUGGUCGGAUAGAAAAAAAAUGCGAGUUAACUCAUAAUUUGAUUUUCAAUAUAAUAAAGCCGCUUAUAAAUCAUGAGGCCAGCUGUUGGAUAGCAAGAGAAACCUAGAAUGACGUGGCUGCUUGAGAGUGCACAAAAAUAAUAAUUAAUGGUUAUUUGUGAUAAGUUGCAUGCGCAUGAAGAGUUAGUGGGAAAGAGUUUUUAAAUAGUGAACCUACUUGAUGAUGUGGAUUGGUUACAUGUUAAGAUAAACAGGAUAGUGGGGAUGAAUCUCUUAGGUAUACAGGAUAAGACGUUUUUGCAGUUCAACAGAGGUAGUAUAAGUUACAAGAUGUUUUUGCAGUUCAACAGAGGUAGUAUAAGUUACAGUACAACUUAAGUAAAUAGUGAUGACUGUGGCACACACAAACGUACGCAACCUACAGCAUAUGAACUAACAGGUACAGUCCAUAUCACUAGCAGUACAACACAUUCUAAACCAAGAUGGAUCCAGUGAAACCAUCCGGUCCAUCAAUUCGUGUUCCAUCAUGCCUAUAUUGCUAAUCAGUUGAUCUACAAAUAACACCUAGAUUCAGCCAAAAUAGCGAACCUGUUCUACCAUUUGUCCUACUUUCUUCUUUUCUUUCUGAGCUAUGCUCCUCCGAGCUNNNN
rnacentral:lncRNA from 1 species